AAACUCAAAGGAAUUGACGGGGGCCCGCACAAGCAGCGGAGCAUGUGGUUUAAUUCGACGCAACGCGAAGAACCUUACCAUGACUUGACAUCCAAAGAAUUUAGUAGAAAUACUGAAGUGCCCCGUAAGGGGAGCUUUGAGACAGGUGGUGCAUGGUUGUCGUCAGCUCGUGUCGUGAGAUGUUAGGUUAAGUCCUGCAACGAGCGCAACCCCUGUUGUUAGUUGCUACCAUUUAGUUGAGCACUCUAACAAGACUGCCGAGGUUAACUCGGAGGAAGGUGGGGAUGACGUCAAAUCAUCAUGCCCUUUAUGUCAUGGGCUACACACGUGCUACAAUGGCCGGUACAGAGAGACGCAAUACCGCAAGGUGGAGCAAAUCUCAAAAACCGGUCCCAGUUCGGAUUGCAGGCUGCAACUCGCCUGCAUGAAGCUGGAGUUGCUAGUAAUCGCGAAUCAGCAUGUCGCGGUGAAUACGUUCCCGGGCCUUGUACACACCGCCCGUCACACCACGAGAGUCUGCAACACCCGAAGUCAGUGGGCUAACCCGUAAGGGAGGCAGCUGCCGAAGGUGGGGCCGAUAAUUGGGGUGAAGUCGUAACAAGGUAGCCGUAGGAG
rnacentral:rRNA from 1 species